rnacentral:rRNA from 1 species
GGCUCAGAUUGAACGCUGGCGGCAUGCCUUACACAUGCAAGUCGAACGGUAACAGGGAGCUUGCUCCGCUGACGAGUGGCGAACGGGUGAGUAAAGUAUCGGAACGUACCUUUCAGUGGGGGAUAACUAUCCGAAAGGAUAGCUAAUACCGCAUAUUCUGUGAGCAGGAAAGCAGGGGAUCGCAAGACCUUGCGCUGAUUGAGCGGCCGAUAUCAGAUUAGCUAGUUGGUGAGGUAAAGGCUCACCAAGGCGACGAUCUGUAGCGGGUCUGAGAGGAUGAUCCGCCACACUGGAACUGAGACACGGCCCAGACUCCUACGGGAGGCAGCAGUGGGGAAUCUUGCGCAAUGGGGGCAACCCUGACGCAGCCAUGCCGCGUGAACGAUGAAGGCCUUAGGGUUGUAAAGUUCUUUUAACCGGGAAGAAACCCCAGGACGUGUCCUGGGUUGACGGUACCGGAGGAAUAAGCACCGGCUAACUUCGUG